rnacentral:rRNA from 1 species
GACGAACGCUGGCGGCGUGCCUAAUACAUGCAAGUCGAGCGAGUCUGCCUUGAAGAUCGGAGUGCUUGCACUCUGUGAAACAAGAUACAGGCUAGCGGCGGACGGGUGAGUAACACGUGGGUAACCUGCCCAAGAGAUCGGGAUAACACCUGGAAACAGAUGCUAAUACCGGCUAACAACAGAUGAUGCCUAUCAACUGUUUAAAAGAUGGUUCUGCUAUCACUCUUGGAUGGACCUGCGGUGCAUUAGCUAGUUGGUAGGGUAACGGCCUACCAAGGCGAUGAUGCAUAGCCGAGUUGAGAGACUGAUCGGCCACAUUGGGACUGAGACACGGCCCAAACUCCUACGGGAGGCAGCAGUAGGGAAUCUUCCACAAUGGACGCAAGUCUGAUGGAGCAACGCCGCGUGAGUGAAGAAGGGUUUCGGCUCGUAAAGCUCUGUUGUUGGUGAAGAAGGACAGGGGUAGUAACUGACCUUUGUUUGACGGUAAUCAAUGAGAAAGUCACGGCUAACUACGUG